CUUGCCUUAGUAGGACGUAUUAAAACUGGAACAGUAUAGAAAUCAGCAUGGCCCCUGCAAAAUGGUGACACAAAUUCAUGAAGCAUUCCACAUUUUU
rnacentral:snRNA from 1 species